rnacentral:tRNA from 4 species
GGGGGAUUAGCUCAGUUGGCUAGAGCGCUUGAUUUGCAUUCAAGAGGUCAUCGGUUCGACUCCGAUAUUCUCCAC